rnacentral:rRNA from 1 species
UACGGAGGAUCCGAGCGUUAUCCGGAUUUAUUGGGUUUAAAGGGAGCGUAGGUGGAUUGUUAAGUCAGUUGUGAAAGUUUGCGGCUCAACCGUAAAAUUGCAGUUGAAACUGGCAGUCUUGAGUACAGUAGAGGUGGGCGGAAUUCGUGGUGUAGCGGUGAAAUGCUUAGAUAUCACGACGAACUCCGAUUGCGAAGGCAGCUCACUGGACUGCAACUGACACUGAGGCUCGAAAGUGUGGGUAUCAAACAGG